rnacentral:rRNA from 1 species
GACGAACGCUGGCGGCGUGCUUAACACAUGCAAGUCGAACGAAGUUGCUCGAGAAGAAACCUUCGGGUGGAAACAUGAGUAUACUUAGUGGCGGACGGGUGAGUAACGCGUGAGCAACCUGCCCUGCAACGGGGGACAACAGUUGGAAACGACUGCUAAUACCGCAUAAGACCACGAUCUCGCAUGGGAUUGAGGUAAAAGGAUUGAUUCGAUGCAGGAUGGGCUCGCGUCCCAUUAGAUAGUUGGUGAGGUAACGGCUCACCAAGUCGACGAUGGGUAGCCGACCUGAGAGGGUGAUCGGCCACACUGGAACUGAGACACGGUCCAGACUCCUACGGGAGGCAGCAGUGGGGAAUAUUGGGCAAUGGGCGAAAGCCUGACCCAGCAACGCCGCGUGAAGGAAGAAGGUCUUCGGAUUGUAAACUUCUGUCCUUGGGGACGAAACAAAUGACGGUACCCAAGGAGGAAGCCCCGGCUAACUACGUGCCAGCCGCCGCCGUAAAAC